rnacentral:rRNA from 1 species
UUAUUUGAGAGUUUGAUCCUGGCUCAGGACGAACGCUGGCGGCGUGCCUAAUACAUGCAAGUUGAGCGCUGAAGGUUGGUACUUGUACCGACUGGAUGAGCAGCGAACGGGUGAGUAACGCGUGGGGAAUCUGCCUUUGAGCGGGGGACAACAUUUGGAAACGAAUGCUAAUACCGCAUAAAAACUUUAAACACAAGUUUUAAGUUUGAAAGAUGCAAUUGCAUCACUCAAAGAUGAUCCCGCGUUGUAUUAGCUAGUU